AUUGCAGUGAGCUCUUCCUUCUUCUUAUCAACUGUGCAGCACUCUCCUCCGGCCUUGGCCUCGGGUGCAGAAUGUCCAGGAACUUCUGGGCAGUUGCCAGAAUCUGGAACACAUCAUGCUGAGUGAAAUAAGCCAGUCCCAAAGGGACAAAUACCAUAUGUUCUCCCUGAUCGGUGACAACUGACUGAACACCAAAAAGGAAACCUGUUGAAGUGAAAUGGACACUAUGGGAAACGGUGACUUGAUCAGCAUAGCCCUGACUGGCAGAGUGAAGGAGGGAGAGAGAGAAGAGAGAAGAGAGAAGAGAGAAGAGAGAAGAGAGAAGAGAAGAGAAGAGAAGAGAAGAGAAGAGAAGAGAGAAGAGAAGAGAAGAGAAGAGAAGAGAAGAGAAGAGAAGAGAAGAGAAGAGAAGAGAAGAGAAGAGAAGAGAUCUUCUAAUUUCUUCUCAAAUGGCCACAACUCCAUCCAGGUCUUCCACAUGAAUGGCAGGGGCCCAAGUACUUGAGCCAUCUUCCACUGCUUUUCCAGGCAUUUGCAGGGAGCUGGGUCAGAAGCGGAGCAGCCAGGAUUUGGACCAGCAGUUCAGUAUGUAAUGUACGUAGCAGCUUAACUCACUGAACUACAAUGCUGGCCUCACAAAAAUUUUGAAAUAGCUGCAUCUGUAGGGUCAUAAUAAAGUUUAUAAAAUGUAAAUUUGUAAAGAAGACAUUAAUUUAAAAAUUUUUGCAUUAAAAUAAACUUAUUUUAUUUUCAAUUCUCCAUGAAAGCUUUGAAGUACUCUUAUCUUAACAUUGGGUCUUCAAAUAAAUGAACACAGUAUAGCUGUUAAUUUAUUUAGGGCUUUUUCAUCAGUUUUAUAAGUGUCUGGACAUGGAUCUUCUGUAUACAGUCACAAUUUGCUUCGUGGUUGGAAUGCUUUCUAAGAAAUGCAUCAUUAGGC